CCGCCACGAGCAGUCGUACAGAAACAACUGCCUCUGCAGCCGCUGCGCUGCGUUGCUCUUCCCUCUCUGUCUCUCGCGUGCGCGACGUUGUGUUUCGUCAACAGUGCUUCACGUCCUCGCCUAAUCGUGAACAGUGCUACCGACUCUUCGCAGUGCAACGGUCCAAAAGAUAGUCGCAGUGUUGGAUUACAGUGCCCCUAGUCGACGCCAAGAAGCUUACCGAGUGCCUGGUAAGGCCGCCGGCUACAUUUUCCGGCGCUGCGCUGGAGGCGUGUUUGGUGUAAGAGGGACGACUGCAGAGCUUCGAGUGAAUAGUUCGUCGCCGACUGGUACUUGCAGAGGACUAUCACAGGUGGCAGACCGGCGUAGGCCUGGACGGCGCGGCAGGUUGGCAGCGCUAGUGCGCGUGCGCGCAGAGGGGGCGUGUCGCGAGUUGUGCUGUGGCGGCUCGUCUGCCCCGCGGCUUCAGCAGCGGCCGGCGGUCGCCCGCGGCGCUUCUGGACGCUCCACGGAAGGACUCCCGCGCUCGCCAAAAAGGCGCAUGGCAUGAGCGCGGCGCGGUAACCAUGGCGGGCGCAGGACGGCGCCUGAGCGAGAUCGCGCGCUAGCGAUGGAGCUGUUCCGCGGGGCGGCGGGCCCGGACGGCGCGCUGCCCUCGGCGUCGGCGGCGGCGGC